CGGUACGCGAGCUGGGUUUAGAACGUCGUGAGACAGUUCGGUCCCUAUCCUCUGCGCGCGCAGGAAAAUUGAGAAGAUCUGUCCUUAGUACGAGAGGACCGGGACGGACCAACCUCUGGUGUGUCAGUUGUUCCGCCAGGAGCACCGCUGAUUAGCUACGUUGGGAACGGAUAACCGCUGAAAGCAUCUAAGCGGGAAGCCGACUUCGAGAUGAGUUUUCCAUCCCUUCGGGGGAGAGGCUCGCAGUAGACGACUGCGUUGAUAGGCCGGAUGUGGAAGUGGGGACUAAAGACCCAUGCAGCUGACCGGUACUAAUAAGCCAAUAAUUUGAAAUCACU
rnacentral:rRNA from 1 species